rnacentral:rRNA from 1 species
GACGAACGCUGGCGGCGUGCUUAACACAUGCAAGUCGAACGGAAAGGCCCUGCUUUUGUGGGGUGCUCGAGUGGCGAACGGGUGAGUAACACGUGAGUAACCUGCCCUUGACUUUGGGAUAACUUCAGGAAACUGGGGCUAAUACCGGAUAGGAGCUCCUGCUGCAUUGUGGGGGUUGUAAAGUUUCGGCGGUUGGGGAUGGACUCGCGGCUUAUCAGCUUGUUGGUGGGGUAGUGGCUUACCAAGGCUUUGACGGGUAGCCGGCCUGAGAGGGUGACCGGCCACAUUGGGACUGAGAUACGGCCCAGCCUCCUACGGGAGGCAGAAGUGGGGAAUAUUGCACAAUGGGCGGAAGCCUGAUGCAGCAACGCCGCGUGCGGGAUGACGGCCUUCGGGUUGUAAACCGCUUUCGCCUGUGACGAAGCGUGAGUGACGGUAAUGGGUAAAGAAGCACCGGCUAACUACGUG